rnacentral:tRNA from 2 species
GACUCACUAGCUCAAUUGGUAGAGCAUCUGACUCUUAAUCAGCAGGUUCGGGGUUCGAUUCCCCGGUGGGUCACCA